GGGAAACAGGUUAAUAUUCCUGUACUUGGUGUUACUGCGAAGGGGGGACGGAGAAGGCUAUGUUGGCCGGGCGACGGUUGUCCCGGUUUAAGCGUGUAGGCUGAUUUUCCAGGCAAAUCCGGAAAAUCAAGGCUGAGGCGUGAUGACGAGGCACUACGGUGCUGAAGCAACAAAUGCCCUGCUUCCAGGAAAAGCCUCUAAGCAUCAGGUAACAUCAAAUCGUACCCCAAACCGACACAGGUGGUCAGGUAGAGAAUACCAAGGCGCUUGAGAGAACUCGGGUGAAGGAACUAGGCAAAAUGGUGCCGUAACUUCGGGAGAAGGCACGCUGAUAUGUAGGUGAAGCGACUUGCUCGUGGAGCUGAAAUCAGUCGAAGAUACCAGCUGGCUGCAACUGUUUAUUAAAAACACAGCACUGUGCAAACACGAAAGUGGACGUAUACGGUGUGACGCCUGCCCGGUGCCGGAAGGUUAAUUGAUGGGGUUAGCGGUAACGCGAAGCUCUUGAUCGAAGCCCCGGUAAACGGCGGCCGUAACUAUAACGGUCCUAAGGUAGCGAAAUUCCUUGUCGGGUAAGUUCCGACCUGCACGAAUGGCGUAAUGAUGGCCAGGCUGUCUCCACCCGAGACUCAGUGAAAUUGAACUCGCUGUGAAGAUGCAGUGUACCCGCGGCAAGACGGAAAGACCCCGUGAACCUUUACUAUAGCUUGACACUGAACAUUGAGCCUUGAUGUGUAGGAUAGGUGGGAGGCUUUGAAGUGUGGACGCCAGUCUGCAUGGAGCCGACCUUGAAAUACCACCCUUUAAUGUUUGAUGUUCUAACGUUGGCCCGUUAUCCGGGUUGCGGACAGUGUCUGGUGGGUAGUUUGACUGGGGCGGUCUCCUCCUAAAGAGUAACGGAGGAGCACGAAGGUUGGCUAAUCCUGGUCGGACAUCAGGAGGUUAGUGCAAUGGCAUAAGCCAGCUUGACUGCGAGCGUGACGGCGCGAGCAGGUGCGAAAGCAGGUCAUAGUGAUCCGGUGGUUCUGAAUGGAAGGGCCAUCGCUCAACGGAUAAAAGGUACUCCGGGGAUAACAGGCUGAUACCGCCCAAGAGUUCAUAUCGACGGCGGUGUUUGGCACCUCGAUGUCGGCUCAUCACAUCCUGGGGCUGAAGUAGGUCCCAAGGGUAUGGCUGUUCGCCAUUUAAAGUGGUACGCGAGCUGGGUUUAGAACGUCGUGAGACAGUUCGGUCCCUAUCUGCCGUGGGCGCUGGAGAACUGAGGGGGGCUGCUCCUAGUACGAGAGGACCGGAGUGGACGCAUCACUGGUGUUCGGGUUGUCAUGCCAAUGGCACUGCCCGGUAGCUAAAUGCGGAAGAGAUAAGUGCUGAAAGCAUCUAAGCACGAAACUUGCCCCG
rnacentral:rRNA from 1 species